UGGAGGCUUAACAUGAUGAUAACAUAGUUCAGCAGAUGGCCUGCGAUGAACAUGCUAUACUGUCUUUCGCUCCUAUCUGAUGUAGCCUCCU
rfam:Alligator mississippiensis ScZkoYb_132, whole genome shotgun sequence.